UCCAGAUGGUAGAGGACAGGAAGGCCUGGAGGAACAUUGUCCAUGGGGUCGUGAUGGGUUGGACACGACUUUGCAACUAACAAAAAAAUAUGUUUCCUCUUUUACAGUAUUUCCUCAAUAACGUUUUGAGUAUUUUUCGUUAAAAAUAUAGCUGGGUCAGGAUUAGUUCCACUUUUGAUGUGAACUUUUCUUUGGGGUGUUGCAGCAUUUCCUCUGUGGUUGAUACCUAUCUAGAAAUUCCUGUGCGCUUGAUAUGUAUCUAGAAAUUACCAUGCUCCCAUUAGUUUGUGCAGUACUAAUUAGAGAUUACAGGGCAGGCGUGCGGCAAGUUUCCACUGUGCUGCUGACCCCAUUUUUAACAAUGGCAAAUUUAUCUGCAUUGACUAAAGGUUUGACAGCCAUCAAUUACGGGAGGAGAGAAUUAAGACUUUUAAGAAUGCUUUCCGAAAAGUGCCUCUUCCUGACGCUCACUCGUGUUUGACAGUUUAAAUGCUCUUCUCAAAACUGCUUCGUGCAACUAAAACAUCUGGGCUACAGCACGGAGCACAGAAAAACAGGACUGCAAGUCCCGCCAAAAUUCGAGCAACUUUUCUACCCGUUCAUGGUAGAGCAAUUUAUGGUUUACAAAAGCGCAUGCGCAGAACACUCCCAGGCCUUCUAACCCUCCGCCCAAGCGAGCAGAAGGCAGGAAGGAGGUAUCCACUGGAACCCAGCGCACCAGCUCAACUAACAGAGGAGCAGGAGUUAUAAAAGAGGAUGCUGCAACGGGAAGAACCAGAACCACAGAAGCAGCGAGUCAGACUAUUCUUACCUAGUACGUAGGUCAUGCAGAGGAUUUCCAUCCUGUUUCUUCAGGAAUAUACUUUUUCCUACUUGUAUUUCCUGCUCCAAUAUCCUUGUCAAAGAAAGGCCAUUUUUUAUUACUGCAGAAUGUACUAACUAGAAGAGCAUCCUCUCUGUUGCAAAGCGGUUCAUCUGGAUUACACUAGUAAACAUUCUGCUCCCAUGGGUAGAGGCCACUCCCAGCUGAAAAACCAAAGUGUGGGACAUAGUAUCACAGACAUACAUGCUCUGAUUCCUUCAUUUUAUUGGUCUCCUUUGACUGUUUAUUGUAGAGCUGAAUACUUUCUGUCUGAGGUCCUCCCAAGAACAAUUCAGCGAAAAGGAAUGCAAUGGCCACUUUAACUUUGAAAUCAACAUUUUUCCUCUGAUAAGGAGCCAUCAUACAUUUCUUCUCUGAAAAAUUAAGAAUGGAAUCAGGACUGUUCCAAGAAAUAUAAUUCUGUUAGACACAGGAAUACUUUUGUGCAAGGAAGAGAAAGCCCACUACAUAAAUAUUGGACCCCAGUUCCCUUAAGAACUUUUCACAUGUCUAGAAUCCAAUUUUAUUUCAAUAUAAAUAAAUCAGAUUUUAUAUGCACACACACACACACACACACACACACACACACACACACACACACACAUAUUUCAAUAAUAUAUUUGUUUGGAAUACAUUUAUAUAUACAUACAUCAUAUAAAUAUGUAGAUAUAAUGUUUUAAUAUAAUAUAUAUAUAUUAAAGAUUAAAGAUUCUUUUAAUAUAAAGCAUAUGUAUAAUAUGCUGUGGUAUAAAGAUCUACAAAUAUGCAAGGUAGCUUAAAAUUCAAAUUAAAUAAGAUUUAUUUCAUUUUUGGAAUAGUCUGCUGAGUAAUAGAAGAAAGUAAGUAAGACACAGAAGGAGUAAGACACAGAAGGAAGUCAAGUAGCAAUGUUAUAAACAAAGAUAUUAAUAAUUCAGCUGAUGUGGAGCACUGUAGCUGAAGAAAAUGAAAAUGUUAUCAGUCUCUGCAGUUCAGUGUGUCAUGGUUGGGAGGUGCUCAAUCCUCUCGUGAAAAAAAGAACCCUUACCAAUUCAGGUGCACUUUUAUUUCUGAUAUGAUUGGAAAAUUGGACAUUUCUGUAAUAUCUAUGUUUUAAUGGAGAAAUAAACAAUUGAGAAAACA